UGUCAAGUCUCCCAUGUGCAUCUCCGGAUUCAGGAUUGUAAUCAAAUAAACUUUCUUCCUCUAUGCACUUUGCUCUUUCACUUGGUGAAGCCUAUCUCAUUGCCUCUCUUUCUCUUUCUGUCUAGGGUUUUCUCUUCCCCAGAUAACUUUUCAGCAACUCAAUCUUGCUUUAUAUGUUUAGAUUUCAGUCACAAUGAGAAUUUUUUGGACUUGAUAUACUUGCUUAUUUAUUAUUCUCUUCUGUUUGAUUUGAAGAAAAGAUUUGGAUAUUCUUGUUUGUACUAUGACUUCUACAGUUCCAGCAAAGUCUAAUAACCCACUUCACAACUUUGAUUUGCCAUAUUUGAAAUGGAAGAAGAAUCAGCAUUCAAACAAUCACCAACGCCGCCGAUCCAAUAAGCUUUCUUCAGAUUCAUCUUCCCCCUCGCCGCAGCGUCACUCUCCAAUGCGUGAAUCCAUGGCGGCGGCGGCGGCGGCGGCGCGUCAGUCUCCUAUGCGUGAUUCUGUUGCACGCCAGUCUCCCAUGCGGGAGCCUAUUCCGGGGUUUCGUCAGUCUCCCAUGCGCGAGUCAUCCUCUCCGAUGCGUGAUUUGGUUGUGGCAAAUCACCGGUCUCCGAUGCGUGAUUCUGUUGUGGCGUCUCGCCGGUCUCCGAUGAGUGAUUCUGUUGUGGCGUCUCGCCGGUCUACGAUUCAUGAUUCUAAUGCGGCGGCAUCUCGACGGUCUCCGAUGUCUGAGUUUGUUGCUGCGGCUCGCCAGUCUCCGAUCUCGGAAUCCAUUACGGCGUUUCGCCAGUCUUCCAUGCGUGAUUCCGUGCCUCCACGUCAGUCUCCGAUGAGGGAGUCUGUGCCGCCGCGUCAGUCUCCAAUGCACUGUGAAUCUGUUCCUGAAUCGGACAAGGACACAAGUGUUGUUAAGUAUCGUAGACAUUCACGAAUUUCAGCACCUGAGAGUACGAAGAAAGGGAUCUGUGAAAAAUCAGAUAAGAAGCAUAAAGUUUUAGAGGUGGAUGCGGCUGGGAGUAAAGAAGGUAGAUCGAAAAUCUUGCUCAAAAUCCCUCGGAAAAAUCAUGAAGAGCAUAGGGGUGAUGAAUCUCAAGAGGUUACUGCAGAAGAGGAGGCUGCUGAAGAUACAGCACCAAAAACGUGGAAUCUGAGACCCAGAAAGGCUGUACAAAAGUCAUCAAAUCUGAAUGGAGGUCCAUUUCGAGCCAGUGGAUCGGCUAUACAGGAGAACAAAUUUCAAUCGCCUCACAUGAAUGUGAACAAGCCAGAAAAUAAUGAAUCCAACCCUCCGAAGAAGGAAAAGAGGCCUAGGUUUUCGAUAGCCCUCUCCAGAGAAGAGAUUGAUGAAGAUAUAUAUGCUAUGACUGGAUCAAAGGCUACAAGAAAACCUAAGAAGAGAGUGAAGAAUGUUCAGAAACAACUUGAUACCCUCUUCCCUGGUUUAUGGCUAACUUCAAUAACUCCUGAUUUGUAUAAAGUUUGUGAAAAUGUUCCAAAGGGUUAAAAGGAAUCCUUCAAAGUUGGUGGUUGUCCUUCGAAUGUCCUUUGCUUUUUGUGGAAGUUUGAAGGUGAUGGCUUCCAAAUUUUAUGAUUUCAUUUGGAGGUUCAGGAAUAUGAGACUUCCAGCCUUAAAAGUUGUUAUCCAACACAAAUUCUCUUCUCCCAAAAACAUUAUUUGAGAGGUAGGAGGCAGUUAUAAGCUGAUAUAUGUGAAGGAGGGACCAUUUUGACUCCUUCAUUUAAGCAUCAUCAUCCAUCCCACUGAGUAACAAUCAGUAUAUCUGUUGAAGUAGGUCAGUGGGAGGCAGCCUUACACUGGACCUGGCUUGGUUAAGUUACGAAGAUGAAGAACAUCAUCCAGGUUCCAACUUUGUGUAUUUUCUCAUAAUAGAGGUUUACUUCUCAUCAUAAACAUUAUUAUUUCUUCCCCUGCUUCAUUCCUGAUCAUCUCUAUGUUCAGGUUGCAACAUACUGUGUGAUUGUAUGAUUGCAGAUUUAGGUGUUUGGGCACA